rnacentral:rRNA from 1 species
AGGUUCAGGACGAACGCUGGCGGCGUGCCUAAUACAUGCAAGUCGAACGGCUUUCUAUGGAAGCUUGCUUCCACUGAAAAGAUAGUGGCGAACGGGUGAGUAACACGUGGGUAACCUGCCCAUAAGAGGGGGAUAACAUCCGGAAACGGGUGCUAAUACCGCAUAGUUUUCUUGAUCGCAUGAUCGGGAAAGGAAAGACGGCCUUUGUGCUGUCGCUUAUGGAUGGACCCGCGGCGUAUUAGUUAGUUGGUGAGGUAACGGCUCACCAAGACGAUGAUACGUAGCCGACCUGAGAGGGUGAUCGGCCACAUUGGGACUGAGACACGGCCCAAACUCCUACGGGAGGCAGCAGUAGGGAAUAUUGCACAAUGGGGGAAACCCUGAUGCCAGCAACGCCGCGUGAGUGAUGACGGCCUUCGGGUUGUAAAGCUCUGUCUUCAGGGACGAUAAUGACGGUACCUGAGGAGGAAGCCACGGCUAACUACGUGCCAGCCGCGGC